rnacentral:rRNA from 1 species
UACGUAGGGUGCGAGCGUUGUCCGGAAUUAUUGGGCGUAAAGAGCUCGUAGGCGGUCUGUCGCGUCGGUCGUGAAAACUUGGGGCUUAACCCUGAGCUUGCGGUCGAUACGGGCAUGACUGGAGUUCGGCAGGGGAGACUGGAAUUCCUGGUGUAGCGGUGAAAUGCGCAGAUAUCAGGAGGAACACCGGUGGCGAAGGCGGGUCUCUGGGCCGAUACUGACGCUGAGGCGCGAAAGCUGGGGGAGCGAACGGG